AUUCUCCUGCCUCAGCCUCCUGGGUAGCUGGGAUUAUAGGCGCACACCAUCCCGCCCGGCUAAUUUUUGUAUUUUUAGUAGAGAUGGGGUUUCACCAUGUUGGCCAGGCUGGUCUCGAACUCCUGACCUGAGGUGAUCCACCAACCUCGGCCUCCCAAAGUACUGGGAUUAGAGGCACGAGCCACCACGCCUGGGCUACAGUAGGUAAUUUUAACAAUGGUAUUUGUGUAUCUAAACAUAGAAAAGGUACAGUUUAAAAAGCAGUGUAAUCUUACAUGACCACCAUCAUAUAUGUGGUUCUCCUUUGACUGAAACACGACUGUAGCUCAUGACUGUAUGAACUUAUUGUAAAGUAAGAUUUACAGCAGUACUAACAUGAACUUUUAAGAUUUCCUCUUUAAGUUUCAGGCCUGGCAUCCCCUAAGGUCAUAAAAAUUUCCACUCCAUGGAUUAAGCACUUCUAAAAAUUGUGAGUUGAGAUAGCAGAUUAAGAAAUACUAUUUCUCCUUUGUCUGAGUUAAAUUAAGCAUAUUAUUGUAGCCAGUGAAGCAGAUAGUUGUGUCUGAUGGGAAUUUUAAGUGUUAAACCCAGAUUAAAACCUGCAUUUUGGUUUGUAUUACACAGUAGCAGGGAGUCAAAUGUUAAACAUCCCUCUAAAACUUAAAAUUGAUGCAGUACUUAAGUCUAAUAACGUAGAAAGUCUGAAGUCUGCUUGUCAUGCUGAAAGGAAUUCUAUUAAUCGUUUAGUUUGUUCAAUUUCAUUAUAAUUAACUUAAUCCAUUGAAGAGUUGGCCAGCCACCUCACUUUUAAGUAGUCAGUUGUACUUAGGAAACCAUUGCUUUAACUAUAAUUACAUGCCUGCAAAAGGGUUAUCCAUAUAAAGAUUUAAAGCACAGGAGAUUGGCAUGUAAUUUCUACUUCCAGUUGGGCAACAGAAAUGACAAGUGUUUUCCCCAGUCUGUACUCACAGAGAAAUGACAUAAGAAUAGGACAGUCAUUUUAGUACUUGCCAAAGAACCUUAGGUAAGCUAGAGAGAGGGAGGUCAAUACAAUAGAAGUGGAAAAGCACCUAAUUUAUGUAUAACUUCAUUGCUACAACGUGACACCAACACAUUAAGAGAAUUGAUUUUUCAGUAUUAUGGACUUGUUACCUUACAGUCAAACAAUAUGAGGAUGUGGUCACGUGUAUUGUAUUUUUAUGUACACUAAAGCACUUGAAGCUUUUUUUUUUUUUUUUUUUUUUUUUUGAGACAGGGUCUUGCUUUGUCACCCAAGCUGGAGUGCAGUAGCACAAUCAGAGCUCACUGCAGUCUUUACCUGCCGGACUCAAGCAAUCCUCCCACCUCAGCCUCCCAAGUAGCUGGGACUACAGGCAUGCGCCACCACACCUGACUAAUUUUUUAUUUUCUGUAGAGACAGAGUUUCUGUAGAGAGCCCAGGCUGGUCUCGAAUUCCUGGGCUCAAGUAAUCCGCCUGCCUUAGUCUCCCAAAGUGCUGGGAUUAUAGGUGUGAGCCACCACGCCUGUCCCGAAGCUAUUUUUGUACAAGUAAUACAUGCUCAUUUUCCAUCAGUACACAAGUAUAUAAUGUAAAAGAUCACUUCCAAAAUAUUGAAAGAAUGACUAAAAAUACGUCAUUCUCUAAUCUGCAGUUAAAGAAAUUUCUCCUCUCUGUUGAUCAUUCUUUUAAAAAUGCUGGCUGGUCACAGUAGCUCACACCCGAACUGUAAUUCCAGUGCUUUGGGAAGUCAAGACAAGAGUAUUGUUGAGGCCAGGAGUUUGAGAUAAAGAGUGCCUAAAAUUGGCAACAUUUCAACAGGAGCCAUCUCCUAAGAGUUUAAGACACACAGGAUUCCUAAAUUAAAACUAUGACUAGGAAAGAAAACAUUAAGAUAACGACCUUUAACUUAGAUCUACCUUGGAGGUUCUCUUUUUGUUUUACUACAAUCUAUGUUUGGCAAACAGACUACUCACUGAUUGUGUGAAUUAAAGUUUACCCUAUGUUAUACUCCUGUCUCGCCCUUCUCUACUCCAACUGCAAUGAAGUUAUAUUCGUAUCUCCUUCAAAUUAAUAGUUUACAAAGGUUAGGAGAAGGGUCUUAUGGAUAGUACCACCAGUGGCUGCUUUUUCUUCCUAAGCUCCUGAAAAAAUCAAGUAGCAUCCUUUUAGUUCUCCUUGAUCUCUUUACUUCUUCCCAUGUGGCAGCUGGACUGUACAUUUAGGCCAGUCUCUUUCAGCAAAAUACAAACUACAAGCUUGAGAAUAAGUACACCAGUUGAAUUCUAAUCAGCAAUUAAAAUGCAUAGAAUAAUAUGGACUCCAACUUUGAACAUAUAGGAUAUACCUUACUUCAGUUUCUAGAUAAUAAUAACUUUGUCAAGUCACCUAAGUCCAGCUUAUCACCUUAAUAUGCUUUCUUAGAUAUUUGAGAAAUACCAGCUCCAGCUGUGUACCUUUGGCUUUGAUUUCUUCAUCUUGUGGAUGAGAGAUUUAAACUCAAUCAGGCUUUUUCCAGUUGUUGUUGUUGUUUAAGACACAGCGUCUCUCUCUAUCACUCAGGCUGGAGUGCAGUGGUGUGAUCAUAACUCACUGUAACCUCAAACCCUGGGCUCAAGAAAUACUCCUGCCUGAGCCUCCAGAGUAGCUGGAACUACAGGUGCACACCACCACACCUGGCUAAUUUUUUAAUUUUUUAUAGAGAUGGGGUGUUGUUUUGUUGCCCAGGCUGGUCUCAAACUCCUGGACUCAAGUGAUCCUCCCGCCUAGGCCUCCCAAAGUGCUGGGAUGAGACACCAUGCAUAGUCACCCCACUACCUAUUAGUACAGUGCUUCCAUUCUGUUUUGCACCUUUUGCUGAAAUACUGGUCUGCUGUUUUUCCAAUUGUCCUCCAUUUUGGACCCCAGGCCUCCUUUUGAUCAAUAACUAUUAUCCUGAUACUCAAAAAAAAUUCUGAGACAGAGAUGGGCCUGCCUACGUAUAGGUAUUUAAUAGUAAUUGUGGUAUAAUUUGAAAACUCUUUUAAGAGUUUUACAGUGGGAGUGAGGAUGGGGUUAAUCAUUAGAGUCUUAAAAGGACCUAGGAAAUGUACCAUGUGAUUUAUGAUUCUAGGUUAAGAUAAAACUUUUUCACAUGGUGGUACUAACCCAACAAUUAACAUCUUUAAAAGUCCCAAUAUUUUCUUCCAAAUGGAUUUGAAAGCUAUAAAAUAGCAUUUAGUUAAAAUUGUUUUGGCAGGCCAGGCAGGGUGCUUCGUGCCUGUAAUCCAAGCACUUUGGGCAGCCAAGGCAGUAGGAUUGCUUGGGCCAAGGAGUUUGAGACCAGCUUGGGCAACAUACGGAGACUCUGUCUCUACAAAAAUAAAAAUUAAAUUACUAGCCAUCUCAAAAAAUCUUAAAAAUUAGCUAGGCACAGUGGUGUACCUCUGUAGUCUCAGCUACUCAGGAACCUGAGGUGGGAGGAUCACUUGGGCCUGAAAAGUAGAGCUACAGUUACCCAUGACUGCGUCACUGCACUCAAGCCUGGGCAACAGAGUGAGACCUUGCCUCAAAAAAAGAAAAAAGAAAAAAAAAGGUGUUUUGGCAACCCUGUUUAGUCACUGGUGUUCUGGCCGGAGGGAAGCAAAGAGAAUCAAAUCUGGGUUUCUUAGAAAGAGGAAGGAAAUUCAUGUAAGAAAGAGGAAGUUGGCAAGCCCCUCAUGCCUAUUUAACAUCUUCCCACUACCCUAACAAUUGAGUAUAAAUGUUGCAAAUAGUUCAUUUUAAUAUUCAUAAAGCACUUUUUGUGUGCUAAAUCCUGAGGAAUACAAAGAUGAUUUUUUUUUAAGUUGCUUAGCUAGGUACAGUGGCUGGCUCAGAAAUUAAACUCCUGUAUGUAAUCCUAGCACUUUGGGAGGCUGAGGCAAGAGGAUUGAUUGAGGUCAGGAGUUCAAGAACAGCCUGGGCAACAUUGCAAGACCCUGUCUCUACAAAAAAAAAAAAUUUAAUUAGCUGGGUGUAGUGGUGUGUGCCUUCGGUCCCAGCUACUUGGGAGGCUAAACUGGGGAGAGCACUUGAAUCCAGGAAUUUGAGGCUGCAGUGAGCUAUGAUCAUGCCAGUGCACUCCAGCCUGGGUGACAGAGUGAGACUGUCUUUAAAAAAUAAAAUAAUAAAAAGAAAAAUCUCUAGAAAGUCCUACAAUACAGGAUGUUAUGGGAACCUAGAGUAGGGAGAGGUAUUAGUCCAGAUUGAAGGAGUGGGAAGAGGGCAGGAAGCCUAGGGAAUGUGAAUCUCGAAAGAUAAAUAAGAAAGCAGACAUUCAUUUACUCUUAACAAAUCCACUGUGCCUACUCUGUGGCAAGCAUUGUUCUAGGCGCUGAAGAUACAGAAUUGAGCAAAGUAAAAGCUCCUGCUCUCAUGGAAUUUAUAUUCUAGUAGGAAAAGAGACAAAAUAAGUAUAAUAGUACAUCAGUUGUUCUACAGAAAAAAAAUGCAGAGGAAGGAGGCAAGAAGUGCUGAGAUGAAGAUUAUAAUUUAAAACUAGAAUGGGGCUGGGCAUGGUGGCUCAUACUUGUAAUGCCAACACUUUGGGAGGCCAAGGCGGGAGGAUUGCUUGAGUCCAGGAGUUUGAGACCAGCCUGGGAAACAUAGCAAGAGCCUGUCUCUACAAAAAAAUUUAAAAAAAAAAAUUUAGCUGGGUGUGGUGGCAUGUGCCUGUAGUCCCAGAUGCUUGGGAGGCUGAGAUGGGAGGAUUGCCUGAGCCCAGGAAGUGGAGGCUCCAGUAGGCCAUGAUCACACCACUGCACUCCAGCCUGGAUGACAGAGCAAGACCCUGUCAAAAUAAAUAAAUAAAUAAGUAAAAGUAAAAUAUAAAAAUACAAAUAGAAUGGUCAGAGAGAAGCAAAAAGGGUGAUAUUUAAGCCAAAAUUGGAAGGAGAGAAUGAAGCAGACUUUGUGGAUAUCCAAGGGAAGAUUGUCCAAGGAAUGAGGCAAGAGCACAUCUGCCAGCUCUAAGGGCCAGCAAGGAAGCAAGUGUGCCUGCAACAGUGAGAGAAGGGGAUGGGAUCAAAUCCUCUUUACAGACUUUGGCUCUUGCUCGUAAAAUCAGAAGCUGUCACAGGUUUUGGAAUGGAGAAGAGAUCUGUCAUCUUUUUUUUUUGAGAUGGAGUCUUGCUCUGUUGUUGACCCUGGAGUGCAGUAGUGUGAUCUCGGCUCACUGCAACCUCCACCUCCCAGGUUCAAGCAAUUUUCCCAUCUCAGCCUCCUGAGUAGCUGGGAUUAUAGGCAUGCGCCACCAUGCCUGGCUAAUUUUUGUAUUUUUAGUAGAAACGGGGUUUCACCACGUUGGCCAGGCUGGUCUUGAACUCCUGACCUCAGGUGAUCCACCUGCCUCGGCCUCCAGAAAUUCUGAGAUUACAGGCGUGAGCCACCAAGCCCAGCCUGUCAUCCAUUUAAAAAAGAUAUCUCUGACUGCUGUGUUGAAAGUGGACUGGAGUGAGAGGAGAAGGGACAAAAGGGCAAACACAGGGAGACCAAUUAGGGGGCGACUGCAUUAAUCCAGGCGUGAGGGUUAGGCGGUGAGAGGUUAGAUCCCAGAUAUUAUUUUGAAAGAACAGCCAACAGGAUUAGAUUGGGAUGGAUGAGAGAAUAUUUAAAGAUGACUCCAAACUUAGUGACCUAAGUAGUUCAGAAUUGCUACUCACUGAGAUGAGGAAUACAACAGGAGAAGGAGAUUUGUGGGUCAAGAUCAGAAGCAGAGCUUUGGACAUAUUACAUUUGAGAUGUCUAUUAGACAUCCAAGUGGAUAGGUUAAAUAGAGAGUUAGAUAUUUAACUCUGAAGUUAGAAAAGGUACAGGCUGGAGACAUAGGUUGAGGAGUCAUUAGAGAUUGAUGGUAUUGAAAGCUGUAAGACCAAGAUGGGUGCAGUGGCUCAUCCAAGCUGUAUCUUAUGACCUAGCCUCAGAUGUAACGCAGUGUCACUUCUGCUGCAUUUUAGUCAUUGAAGUAGCCACAAAGUUCUGCCCAGGUUUAAGGGGAGGUGAAAUAAUAUCCAGAAAUGUUGUCAUGCCACAGUCUGCCCUCGGGUUACAAUUCAGAUUCCUCCCAUUUGUAAGAUGCAUACACCGUUUCUUCUAAAACAGCCUUGAGGUCUAGGAUCUCAUCAUCUAGAUCAGGUCCAGGGGGACUAACGCUCCUCAGGUGUGGUUCCUCAAAUACAAUGCCUUUUGACUUGAACACCUGCUCUUAGUUAGUAUACAAUGAGUUUAUUUAAGGAAAGGGGGUCGUGAUGUAUUGAACUUACUUUUAAAUGCUUCAGGGACAAACUAUAUAUUUUUUCACACAUAUAUAUUUGAAGACUAUAUACAUACAGAAACAUGGGCCGGGAGCAAUGGCUCCCACCUGUAAUCCCAGCACUUUGGGAGGCCAAGGCGGGAGUAUUGAUUGAGCCCAGGAGUUCAAGACCAGUCUGGGUAACAUAGUGAGACUCUAUGUCUACAAAAAAUUAAAAAAUUAGCCAGGCAGUUUGGCACACGCCUGUGGGUCCCAGCUACUUGGGCAGCUGAAGUAAGAGGAUUGCUUGAGCUUGGGAGUCAAGGCCGCAGUGAGCCGCGAUCACACCACUGCACUCCAGCCUGGGUGACAGGGCGAGACCCUGCCUCAAAAAAAAAAAAAAAGGAAAAGAAAAAAAGAAAGAAAAAGAAAUAUGCGCACACACACAUAUUUCUGGGGAUUACUUCCCAUCCCUUGAGCUUGGGCGGAACUGUAUGACUGCUUAAAUGAUGGAAUGUAGCAGAAGUGAUACUGUUACAUUUGAGGCUAGGUUUUAGAGAGAGAGGUGGGGGAGAGGGAGAGAGAAUGCAAAUAAUAAAGCAAAUUGAGCAGAUGUUAAUAGGUGAAUCUGAAUAAAGGGUAUAUGCAAGUGUUCUUUGUGCUAUUCUUGUGUUUGCAACUUUUCUGUAAGCUUGAAAUUAUUUCCAAAUAAAAAGUUUUUUUUUAAUGUGAUGCACAUGGAAGAGGUCCUGAGCUUUAAAUAUUUUGAUAUUUUUAAUUCCAGGGCAAAUCCCAACUUGAUUUUUAUACCAAACCUUUAGUUCCUCCUUUGCCCAGAUUUCUACAAGAAGACAAUCUCGUUUCCUAAAAGAACUAGUUCUAGGAGAAACCGUCUUUGAGAGAGGAGAUUUGGCAUAAUGAGACUCAACUUUUCAAUUAUCUUUGUAUGACCUACUACACUAAAGGCAUCUUGAAGCUAUGUAUGGUUUAUAGGGAAAUUGUAGAAGAGUGCACCUCAGCCUCCUUGGAACAAAAGAGACUGGGAUUAGCUGCCUUGAAGAACCAUCAUUGUGUUCCCAGAGUUCAAAUUCUAAAAAUAGUGGCUGCUGAGAAACAACCUUCUCAUCUUUCCUGUAUGAAAAGGACACUUAAAUAGAAGGCUGGUCUUUUUACUUAACAGUGUCACAAUCUCCAAACAACCAAGGAGUAAUCACUACUAAAUGUCCCAUUUUAGAAGCUGUUUGGGUGGGUGCGAUGACUCCACGCCUGUAAUCCCAGCACUUUGGGAGGCCGAGGCAGGCGGAUCUCUUGAGGUGAGGAAUUGGAGACCAGUCUGGCCAACUUGGUGAAACCCUCGUCUCUACUAAAAAUACAAAAAUUAGCCGGUAUGGUGCUGCACAGCUACUCGGGAGGCUGAAGCACAAGAAUUGCCUGAACCAGGGAGGUAGAGGCUGCAGUGACCCACGAUCAUGCCACUGCACUCCAGCCUAGGCGACAGAGCAAAACUGUUUCAAAAAUAAAAAGAACAAAAAAUAGAAGCUGUUAGUUUUUUGUUUUUGUUUUUGUUUUUGAGACAGAGUUUCGCUCUGUCACCCAGGCUGGAGUGCAGUGGCUCAAUCUCGGCUCACCACAGCUUCCACCUCCUGGGUUCAAGCAACUCUCCUGUCUCAGCCUCCCAAGUAGCUGGGAUUACAGGCACACACCUCCAAGCCAACCUAAUUUUUUUUGUAUUGUAGUAGAGAUGGGGUUUCACCGUGUUGCCCAGGCUGGUCUCGAACUCCUGAGCUCAGACAGUCCACCCGCCUCAACCUCCCAAAGUGCUAGGAUUACAGGCAUGAGCCACUGUGCCUGGCUGAAGCUGUUAGUAUUUUUAAAAUCAUGCGGUUGAAUUGCUUGAGCCCAAGAAUUCGAGACCAGCAUGGGCAACAUAUCAAAACCCCAUCGCUACAAAAAUACAAAAAUUAGCCAGGCCUAGUGGCAUGUUGCCUAUAGUCCCAGCUGCUCAAGAGGCUAAGGUGGGAGGAUCACCUGAGCCUGGGGAGGUGGAGGCUGCAGUGAAUCAUGAUCACACCACUGCAUUCCUGCCUGGGCAACAGAGUGAGAUCCUGUCUCAAAACAUAAAAUAAAAUUAAAUAAAUAAAUAAAAGGCACCUCAGGGCCAUUUAAUAAAUUCAUCCGUAACCAUCGUGCAUAGAAUUUUAUUCUUUCAAAGGUUAUUAUUUGGCUGGGUGCAGAAGCUCACUCCUGUAAUCCAGCACUUUGGGAGGCCAGUGUGGGAGGAUUGCUUGAGCCCCAGAGUUGAGACCAGCCUGGGAAACAUAGUUAGACGCCACCUCUCCAAAAUGUCUUUUUUAAAUUUAGCUAGGUGUACUGGUGCACACCUGUAUUCUCAGCUACUUGGGAGGCUGAGUUGGGAGGAUCACUUGAGUCCAGGAGGUCAAGGCUGCAGAGAGCCGUGAUCAUACCACUGUACCCCAGCCUGGGUGACAGUGCAAGACCUUGUCUCAAAAAAAAAAAAAAAAAAAAAAGCUUAUUAUUCUGAAAAAAAAAAUUUUUUUUUGGAGACAGUCUUGUUCUUGUCAUCCAGGGACCAUCUCAGCUCACUGCAACCUCCGCCUCCUGGGUUCAAGCGAUUCUCCUGCCUCAGCCUCCCAAAUAGCUGGGACUACAGGCCCAUGCCACCAUGCCCAGCUAAUUGUUGUAUGUUUAGUAGAGAAAGGGUUUUGCCAUGUUGCUCAAGCUGGUCUCAAACUCCUGGCCUCAAGUGAUCCACCCUCCUCAGCCUCCUAAAGUGCUGGGAUCACAGGCGUGUGCCACUGCACCUGGCCCAUUAUUCUGAAAUUCUACAUUGAAGUUCUUCUUUUGCUUUUUUUUCUCUUUUUUGAGACAGAGACUUGCUCUGUCACCCAGGCUGGAGUGCAAUGGCAUGACCUCGGCUCACUGUAAUCUCCACCUCCC
rnacentral:lncRNA from 10 species